rnacentral:rRNA from 1 species
CCUACGUGAGGCAGCAGUGAGGAAUAUUGGUCAAUGGGCGCGAGCCUGAACCAGCCAAGUAGCGUGAAGGAUGACUGCCCUACGGGUUGUAAACUUCUUUUAUAAAGGAAUAAAGUGAAGCACGUGUGCCUUUUUGUAUGUACUUUAUUAAUAAGGAUCGGCUAACUCCUUGCCAGCAGCCGCGGUAAUACGGAGGAUCCGAGCGUUAUCCGGAUUUAUUGGGUUUAAAGGGAGCGUAGAUGGGUUGUUAAGUCAGUUGUGAAAGUUUGCGGCUCAACCGUAAAAUUGCAAUUGAUACUGGCAGUCUUGAGUACAGUUGAGGUAGGCGGAAUUCGUGGUGUAGCGGUGAAAUGCUUAGAUAUCACGAAGAACUCCGAUUGCGAAGGCAGCUUACUAAACUGCCACUGACAUUGAUGCUCGAAAGUGUGGGUAUCAAACAGGAUUAGAUACCCUUGUAGUC